UCUAUCGAAGGGAAGAUGGCUGUGAAACUCAUUAGAAUAACACAUUAUCUAUGUUAGUCAACGUUUAUUCAUAAAUCUGGCCUUUCACCGUCACGUGUGUAUUGUAUUUUUACCAAAUCUACCAAUAGGGGGGAGGGGGAAUAGCAAUUUCCAAUUUCCCUAUUGUUUGAGUCACGGAUAAGUGACUUUCCUAAAAUAUUGCCAUUGGUUUGUUGGGCAAAAAUACAACACACACGUGACGGGGAAAGACCAGGUUUAUGAAUAAAUGUUGACCAACAUAGAUAACGAGUUAUAUUGUUGUUCUGAUGAGUUUCACAGCCAUCUUUCCUUCGAUAAG